rnacentral:rRNA from 1 species
AGGACGAACGCUGGCGGCGUGCUUAACACAUGCAAGUCGAACGCUCGUAGCAAUACGGGAGUGGCAGACGGGUGAGUAACGCGUGGGAACAUACCCUCCGGUUCGGAAUAGCUCAGGGAAACUUGGAUUAAUACCGGAUACGGCUGAGAGGCGAAAGAUUUAUCGCCGGAGGAUUGGCCCGCGUUCGAUUAGCUUGUUGGUGAGGUAACGGCUCACCAAGGCGAUGAUCGAUAGCUGGUCUGAGAGGAUGAUCAGCCACAUUGGGACUGAGACACGGCCCAAACUCCUACGGGAGGCAGCAGUGGGGAAUAUUGGACAAUGGGCGCAAGCCUGAUCCAGCCAUGCCGCGUGAGUGAUGACGGCCUUAGGGUUGUAAAGCUCUUUCGCUCGGGACGAUAAUGACGGUACCGAGAUAAGAAGCCCCGGCUAACUUCGUGCCAGCAGCCGC